rnacentral:rRNA from 1 species
UGAGUAACACGUGGGCAAUCUGCCCUGCACUUCGGGAUAAGCCUGGGAAACUGGGUCUAAUACCGGAUAGGACCUUUAGNCGCAUGCCUUUUGGUGGAAAGCUUUUGCGGUGUGGGAUGGGCCCGCGGCCUAUCAGCUUGUUGGUGGGGUGAUGGCCUACCAAGGCGACGACGGGUAGCCGGCCUGAGAGGGUGUCCGGCCACACUGGGACUGAGAUACGGCCCAGACUCCUACGGGAGGCAGCAGUGGGGAAUAUUGCACAAUGGGCGCAAGCCUGAUGCAGCGACGCCGCGUGGGGGAUGACGGCCUUCGGGUUGUAAACCUCUUUCACCAUCGACGAAGGUCCGGGUUUUCUCGGAUUGACGGUAGGUGGAGAAGAAGCACCGGCCAACUACGUGCCAGCAGCCGCGGUAAUACGUAGGGUGCGAGCGUUGUCCGGAAUUACUGGGCGUAAAGAGCUCGUAGGUGGUUUGUCGCGUUGUUCGUGAAAUCUCACGGCUUAACUGUGAGCGUGCGGGCGAUACGGGCAGACUAGAGUACUGCAGGGGAGACUGGAAUUCCUGGUGUAGCGGUGGAAUGCGCAGAUAUCAGGAGGAACACCGGUGGCGAAGGCGGGUCUCUGGGCAGUAACUGACGCUGAGGAGCGAAAGCGUGGGGAGCGAACAGGAUUAGAUACCCUGGUAGUCCACGCCGUAAACGGUGGGUACUAGGUGUGGGUUUCCUUCCUUGGGAUCCGUGCCGUAGCUAACGCAUUAAGUACCCCGCCUGGGGAGUACGGCCGCAAGGCUAAAACUCAAAAGGAAUUGACGGGGGGCCCGCACAA